rnacentral:rRNA from 1 species
CCUACGGUAGGCAGCAGUGAGGAAUAUUUGUCCAUGGGCGCGAGCCUGAACCAGCCCAGUAGCGUGAAGGAUGCCUGCCCUACGGGUUGUAAACUUCUUUUAUAAAGGAAUAAAGUGAGGCACGUGUGCCUUUUUGUAUGUACUUUAUGAAUAAGGAUCUGCUAACUCCGUGCCAGCAGCCGCGUUAAUACGGAGGAUCCGAGCGUUAUCCGGAUUUAUUGGGUUCAAUGGGAGCGUAGAUGGGUUGUUAAGUCAGUUGUGAAAGUUUGCGGCUCAACCGUAAAAUUGCAAUUGAUACUGGCAGCCUUGAGUACAGUUGAGGUAGGCGGAAUUCGUGGUGGAGCGGUGAAAUGCUUAGAUAUCACGAAGAACUCCGAUUGCGAAGGCAGCCUACUAAACUGCCACUGACAUUGAUGCUCGAAAGUGUGGGUAUCAAACAGGAUUAGAUACCCCUGUAGUC